AUAAUAAUAAUAAUAAAAGUGAUGUAAAUAUAAGAUAGUUAAAGAUGUGUUUAUACAUUUCGAAAAGAUUACAAUGGAUCAUAUCGCAUCUAUCAACAUAAGUUGGUAAUCCUUAAAUUGUCAUGCAUGCCACUAUGAAAACGGUUUGUGGUCAUACUCAUAUACUGUGGUUAGAUUAGUGGUUGCACAACUAUCUAAGAAUUAUAUAUAUAGAUGUUUAUACAUUUAAAAAACUUAUUUAUACAUCACAUUUGAAGUUACUUUGGUAUCUUCUUCAUUAACAUAGAUUAGCAAUAUCUUUAACUCAUUCUUCAAAAUAACUAUGAAAAUGACAACAUAUAAUUGA
rnacentral:lncRNA from 1 species